rnacentral:rRNA from 1 species
AUUGAACGCUGGCGGCGUGCCUAACACAUGCAAGUCGAGCGGUAACAGGUGUAGCAAUACAUGCUGACGAGCGGCGGACGGGUGAGCAAUGUUUGGGAAUCUGCCUAUUAGUGGGGGACAACCCGGGGAAACUCGGGCUAAUACCGCAUACGAUCUACGGAUGAAAGCCGGGGACCGCAAGGCCUGGCGCUAAUAGAUGAGCCCAAAUCGGAUUAGCUAGUUGGUGGGGUAACGGCCUACCAAGGCGACGAUCCGUAGCUGGUUUGAGAG